UUUGCUGUGAUGAGAUGCUAACAUGUAAGAGGUAGCAACUAUGUGCUGUUGCCUCGAUGCAAUCCAUUUGUUACGCUUGGCUUCUGAGCCUA